GAUAACCGCUGAAAGCAUAUAAGCGGGAAGCCUCCCUCGAGAUGAGGUUUCAAUAUAGGUUCCCGAUAGACGAUCGGGUUGAUAGGCCAUAGGUGUAAGAUCCGUAAGGAUUUCAGCCGAGUGGUACUAAUAAACCAAAAAA
rnacentral:rRNA from 1 species